rnacentral:rRNA from 1 species
CCGUAGGUGAACCUGCGGAGGGAUCAUUACACAAUAAAAUACGAAGGCCGUUCGCGGCUGGACUAUUUAUUACCCUUGUCUUCUGCGCACUUGUUGUUUCCUGGGCGGGUUCGCUCGCCACCAGGACCACAAUAUAAACCUUUUUUAUGCAGUUGCAAUCAGCGUCAGUAUAACAAAUGUAAAUCAUUUACAACUUUCAACAACGGAUCUCUUGGUUCUGGCAUCGAUGAAGAACGCAGCGAAAUGCGAUACGUAGUGUGAAUUGCAGAAUUCAGUGAAUCAUCGAAUCUUUGAACGCACAUUGCGCCCUUUGGUAUUCCAAAGGGCAUGCCUGUUCGAGCGUCAUUUGUACCCUCAAGCUUUGCUUGGUGUUGGGCGUUUUUGUCUUUGGCCCGCCAAAGACUCGCCUUAAAAUGAUUGGCAGCCGGCCUACUGGUUUCGCAGCGCAGCACAUUUUUGCGCUUGCAAUCAGCAAAAGAGGACGGCAAUCCAUCAAGACUCCUUCUCACGUUUGACCUCGGAUCAGGUAGGGAUACCCGCUGAACUUAAGCAUAUCAAUAAGCGGAGGAA